AUUGAACGCUGGCGGCAGGCCUAACACAUGCAAGUCGAACGGUAACAGGGAUCAGCUUGCUGAUUCGCUGACGAGUGGCGGACGGGUGAGUAAUGUCUGGGAAACUGCCUGAUGGAGGGGGAUAACUACUGGAAACGGUAGCUAAUACCGCAUAACGUCGCAAGACCAAAGAGGGGGACCUUCGGGCCUCUUGCCAUCGGAUGUGCCCAGAUGGGAUUAGCUAGUAGGUGGGGUAACGGCUCACCUAGGCGACGAUCCCUAGCUGGUCUGAGAGGAUGACCUGCCACACUGGAACUGAGACACGGUCCAGACUCCUACGGGAGGCAGCAGUGGGGAAUAUUGCACAAUGGGCGCAAGCCUGAUGCAGCCAUGCCGCGUGUAUGAAGAAGGCCUUCGGGUUGUAAAGUACUUUCAGCGGGGAGGAAGGGAGUAAAGUUAAUACCUUUGCUCAUUGACGUUACCCGCAGAAGAAGCACCGGCUAACUCCGUG
rnacentral:rRNA from 1 species